rnacentral:rRNA from 4 species
AAAUUGAAGAGUUUGAUCAUGGCUCAGAUUGAACGCUGGCGGCAGGCCUAACACAUGCAAGUCGAGCGGAAACGAGUUAUCUGAACCUUCGGGGAACGAUAACGGCGUCGAGCGGCGGACGGGUGAGUAAUGCCUAGGAAAUUGCCCUGAUGUGGGGGAUAACCAUUGGAAACGAUGGCUAAUACCGCAUGAUGCCUACGGGCCAAAGAGGGGGACCUUCGGGCCUCUCGCGUCAGGAUAUGCCUAGGUGGGAUUAGCUAGUUGGUGAGGUAAGGGCUCACCAAGGCGACGAUCCCUAGCUGGUCUGAGAGGAUGAUCAGCCACACUGGAACUGAGACACGGUCCAGACUCCUACGGGAGGCAGCAGUGGGGAAUAUUGCACAAUGGGCGCAAGCCUGAUGCAGCCAUGCCGCGUGUGUGAAGAAGGCCUUCGGGUUGUAAAGCACUUUCAGUCGUGAGGAAGGUAGUGUAGUUAAUAGCUGCAUUAUUUGACGUUAGCGACAGAAGAAGCACCGGCUAACUCCGUGCCAGCAGCCGCGGUAAUACGGAGGGUGCGAGCGUUAAUCGGAAUUACUGGGCGUAAAGCGCAUGCAGGUGGUUUGUUAAGUCAGAUGUGAAAGCCCGGGGCUCAACCUCGGAAUAGCAUUUGAAACUGGCAGACUAGAGUACUGUAGAGGGGGGUAGAAUUUCAGGUGUAGCGGUGAAAUGCGUAGAGAUCUGAAGGAAUACCGGUGGCGAAGGCGGCCCCCUGGACAGAUACUGACACUCAGAUGCGAAAGCGUGGGGAGCAAACAGGAUUAGAUACCCUGGUAGUCCACGCCGUAAACGAUGUCUACUUGGAGGUUGUGGCCUUGAGCCGUGGCUUUCGGAGCUAACGCGUUAAGUAGACCGCCUGGGGAGUACGGUCGCAAGAUUAAAACUCAAAUGAAUUGACGGGGGCCCGCACAAGCGGUGGAGCAUGUGGUUUAAUUCGAUGCAACGCGAAGAACCUUACCUACUCUUGACAUCCAGAGAACUUUCCAGAGAUGGAUUGGUGCCUUCGGGAACUCUGAGACAGGUGCUGCAUGGCUGUCGUCAGCUCGUGUUGUGAAAUGUUGGGUUAAGUCCCGCAACGAGCGCAACCCUUAUCCUUGUUUGCCAGCGAGUAAUGUCGGGAACUCCAGGGAGACUGCCGGUGAUAAACCGGAGGAAGGUGGGGACGACGUCAAGUCAUCAUGGCCCUUACGAGUAGGGCUACACACGUGCUACAAUGGCGCAUACAGAGGGCGGCCAACUUGCGAAAGUGAGCGAAUCCCAAAAAGUGCGUCGUAGUCCGGAUUGGAGUCUGCAACUCGACUCCAUGAAGUCGGAAUCGCUAGUAAUCGUGGAUCAGAAUGCCACGGUGAAUACGUUCCCGGGCCUUGUACACACCGCCCGUCACACCAUGGGAGUGGGCUGCAAAAGAAGUAGGUAGUUUAACCUUCGGGGGGACGCUUACCACUUUGUGGUUCAUGACUGGGGUGAAGUCGUAACAAGGUAGCGCUAGGGGAACCUGGCGCUGGAUCACCUCCUUAAACGAUGAU